GGGCCCGCACAAGCGGCGGAGCAUGUGGCUUAAUUCGAGGCAACGCGAAGAACCUUACCUGGGUUUGACAUGUAGGGAAAAGCCGUAGAGAUACGGUGUCCUUCGGGGCCUUACACAGGUGGUGCA
rnacentral:rRNA from 1 species